rnacentral:tRNA from 1 species
AAGAUUUUAAGUUAAAUAAUUUAAAACUAUUAAUCUUCAAAAUUAAAAAUAAAAAAUAAUUUUAAAUCUUA